UAUGUUGAUCAUCCCACAGGUCUACAGCAGUGAUUGGAAAUUCAACCUCGUUGUUCAGGCUGGUGAACAAGUUGCAUGCAGGGCCCAUCGAAUGAGACGACUUGAGGACAUUACCCAUUGAAGGGCAGAGUCAUCCGUGACAACGGUAAAUAAUCUAUGCUCCAGCACCUAGGCCUGUGUCACUGGCAUCAGUGUAUACAGUGAAAGGAUGUUGGAAAUUUGGAUGACCAAGGACCGGAGGUGAAAGCAUUAAUAGGUUCUGCUAUUUGUGAAAAGUUUGGAACAAACUGGUGGUACCAACCAGCAAGGCC